AUUAAUUAAUUAGUGCAGCUACAAAUUCUUGAAUGUUUUUGUCGGAACUCCCGCAGUCGUCCACCGCCUCCCUCGCCGCCUUCCGCCAUAUCUCCGAACCGAACGAUUUCUUCUUUCCCGACGAGCCCUUCCCCGUCCUCCGCCGCUCUGACCCCGUCCCCCACACAUCCGCCACCAACUUCGCUUUCGAGAACUGGUCGCUCCAUUGUGGCAGCGCCACCGCCGGCACGCCGGAGCAGAUUGCCUCCAGCAUCGAAUUCCAGCCGCACGAAGAGCACGUCCAGCUGAUUGCACCACCGCACGAUCAGACCGACGUCUCCUCUCUGUAAUUCCGGGGAAGCUUCGAUUCCUCCGACGCCCUAACCACCCACAGGAAUCUCGCCGUAAUUAGCUUCAGUGCGGCGGCGAUUUCUCCGAUUUGCUCCACUUCCGACCGGGCGACGUCGUCUUUUUCAGCCAGUCCGUACCCUCACUCGUAAGUUCCCUCCCCCUCUCCCUCUCCACUCCUGCCCCUCGCCCAGCCCACCAGUCACUCAUGUUUCCCAUCAGACACAUGGACGCCCACUCCAUCUCGCAAUCAAUCAUUCAAUCAGGAGUGCAGCAGUGAUGCUCCUUCAGGUUACUUGAGCUUUUUAUCUUGAAAGGAAAUUGGGAUAUGAACGUGGGCGUUUGCCAUUUCAGCUGCUUUCUGUAUCUGGCUGUCAUCUGCAUUUUGGUUUCCUACCCCGAUGUUGUCUUUGAUGUUUCCAGAAAAUAGCAUUGGUUUCUGUGAAACCAAUCCUAUGUUUUGCUAGGCAUUUCAAAUCAAGAUCCUCGAUAUUGCGAUUGAGGAUCAAGAUCUCACCUAAGAAUUGAAAACUGAGUCAGCCAUAUUAGUGUAAAUCUAUUAUUUAUUCUGGAGGCAAGGAGGAUUGUUCAAGGUAAGCCAACGUGGAGACUCGAAGACCGACGAAUAUCCACUCGAUGACGAAGAUCUAAUCGGGGGCAAGGAGGAUUUUGAAUGGAGUUGCUAGACCGCACUAAAAGAAAGAGAGAAUUUCACUACUUUUUCUUUGACUUUUAUUGCAUCUUUAAAUUGCAUUUAUUUUCAAGCUUUCCUGCAUUUAGCAUUAGCAUCAAUUUACGUCCAGGGAUAUCUAUGCAUUCGUUAUAAACUUAACUCUUAUACUAACUCAUAAUUGCGUACUAACUUUCUCUUUUUUGUAUUUUCUCUAGGUAAGCCAAUGUGGAGACUCGAAGACCGACGAAGAUCCACUCGAUGACGAAGAUCUGUUCGGGGGAAAGGAGGAUUUCAAAUGGAGUUGCUAGACCGCACUAAAGAAAGAAAUGGAGAAUUUCGCUACCUUUGUUUUUACUUUUAUUGCAUCUUUAACUUGCAUUUAUUUUCAAGCUUUCUUGCAUUUAGCAUUAGCAUCAAUUUACGUCCCAGGACUUCCAUGCAUUCGUUAUCAACUUAACUCUCAUACUGACUCCCAAUCGCAGCUAAGCCAACGUGGAGACUCGAAGUCCGACGAAGAUUCACUCGAUGACGAAAGUUAGUUAUUUAAAUCUAAUUUAUACUUUCGAAUGUUUAUUUACUUAUAUUAAUUUUUAAUUCUUUCAAAUCUAUUCGGGGGCAAAGAGGAUUUCGAAUGGAGUUGCUAGACCGCACUAAAGAAACAAAAGGGAGAAUUUCGCUACCUUUGCUUUUACUUGUAUUGCAUCUUUAAAUUGCAUUCAUUAUCAAGCUUUCUUGCAUUUACCAUUAGCAUCAAUUUACGUCCCGGGACAUCCAUGCAUUCGUUAUCAACUUAACUCUCAUACUGACUCCCAAUCGUGUACUAACUAUGGAGGUGUUUGUCAAAUAGUUUUUUGAAGAGCUUUUAGCUUAUUGAACAACUUUUAGCUGUUUGACUAAUCAAAAAACUAAUUUAGGUAUUUGGUAAAUUAGUUUUUUGGAAUUGCUUUUUACCAAAAAAAAACUAAUUUCUGAAAAGCUAAUUUACCCAGCGUUUUGAAAUAGCUUUCUGUAAAAAAAUUUUUUUAUUCCUUAUAUGCCCUUAAAAUUUAUUAUGCAUUUUAUACAAAUAAAUAUAUUUUGAUUAUUUAUUAAUUAUAUUAGAAUAUUUUAGUAUAUUAUAGUUUUACUUUUAUAAAUUUAAAAUAAUUAAUUUUUAUAUAAAAAUUAUUAAUUGUAAAAUAUAUAAAUUUAUUAAAAUCAACAUAAAAUAAAAAAUAUAAAUAUUAAUAAUUUGUUUUUAUUUUAAAAUUACAUUAUAUAAAUUUUAUACUAAAAAUAAAUUAAAUUUAUUGAAAAUUAUAAAUAUAAUAAACUAAUCGAUAACUAACAUAAUAAAUCUAUACACGAAAAAUUUAUUAUUUUAUAUUUUACAUCAUUUUCAAUAGAAAAAACUAUUUAUAUAUUUUAAUAAAAACAUAUUAUUUUUUAAAUCUAACUGUAAUAAAAAUAAAUACUUUUAUAACACUUUUACAAUUUUCAAUAACUAAUAACAAAAAAUUUUAAACAUUCUAAAUUAAAAAAAAACAUAAUUGAAUAUAUUAUAAACAAAAAUAAAAUAGAAAUGUCCUCAAUUGUCAUUUUACGUAUAAACAACUAAUAUCAAACAGUUGUUUUACCAAACAUUUUAAUGCAAACAGCUAAUCGAAUUAGCUAGUCAAACCAGCUAAUUGAAUAAGCUAACAGCUAUCAGCUAAUUGAAUCAGCUAACAACUAUCAGCUAAUUGCCAAACACGCCCUAUCUCUUUUUUGUGUUCUCUGUAGGUAUGCCAACGUGGAGACUCGAAGACCGACGAAGAUCCACUUGAUGAUGAAAAUCUGUUAGGGGGAAAAGAGGAUUUCAAAUGGAGUUGUUAGAUCGCACUAAAGAAAGAAAAGGAGAAUUUCGCUACUUUUGCUUUUACUUUUAUUGCAUCUUUAAAUUGCAUUCAUUUUCAAGCUUUCUUGCAUUUAGACUUAGCAUCAAUUUACGUCCCCGGGAUAUCCAUGCAUUCGUUAUCAACUGAACUCUCAUACUGACUCCCAAUCGUGUACUAUCUCUUUUUUAUAUUCUCUGUAGGUAAGCCAACGUGGAGACUCGAAGACCGACGAAGAUUCACUCGAUGACAAAGGUAAGCCAACGUGAAGACUCGAAGACCGACAGAGAUGCACUCAAUCACGAUUACGAUCACUCGAUGACGAAGAUCUAUUCGGGGGCAAACAGGAUUUUGAAUUGAGUUGCUAGACCUCACUAAAGAAAGCGAGAAUUUCGCUACUUUUGCUUUUACUUUUAUUGCAUCUUUAAAUUGCAUUUAUUUUCAAGUUUACUUGCAUUUAACAUUAAUAUCAAUUUACGUCCCGAGACAUCCAUGUAUUGAUUAUCAACUUAAUUCUCAUACCGGCUUCCAAUCGCAUACUAACUAUCUCUUUUUUUUUUUUUUUAUUCUCUGUAGGUAAGGCAACGUGGAGACUCGAAGACCGACAUAGAUGCACUCGAUCACGAUUACGAACAGACAAAGGUAAGGUAACGUGUAGACACGAAGACCGACGGAGAUUCACUCGAUGACGAAGAUCUUUUCGGGUGGCAAUGAGGAUUUUUCGAGGCUAGCUUACGUGGAUACUCGAGGACCGACGAGGAUGUACUUGAUCCGGAUUACGAACAGACAAUGAUCUAUUCGGGUGGCAAGGAGGAUUGCUCAAGGGAAACAAAAUGGAGUUGCUCAACCGCACUUAAGCAAGGGAGAAUUUCGUUACUUUUGCUUAAUUUUAUUGCAUUCGUUUUCAAACUUUUUUGCAUUUAGCAUUAGCAUCAAUUUACGUCCCAGGACAUGGAUGCAUUAAUUUUCAUCCAAAAUCUCAUAGUGACUCCUAAUCGCAUACUUACCUUACUACCUUUGCAUCUCUACUGAAGAGAGAGAUGUAUUUUAAUAUCUUUUGAAUAUA